rnacentral:lncRNA from 1 species
CUUGGUUCUAGUAUUCACAUAAAAUGAAGAGACAAACAUGUAUGAUUUAUAACCCCAAAUUAACCAACUGACCUAAUUCAACAUGUUUAAUCCUUUAAUCUUUGUUCUUAGUACUACCUUCGUGAUCCCACACUCCUAAUAAUAUAAGCUAAUAUGUUGCACAUUCAAUCUUUGGAAGAUAUAAACAAAACAUAAAUAUAGAUAGAUUAUCUUUCCAUUAGGUUGAGCCAUUUGAUCUGAAAAAUGCUACACUCAUG